AAGGGUAUAGCUCAACCGGUAGAGCAACGGUCUCCAAAACCGUUAGUGUGGGUUCAAGUCCUACAAUCCUUG
rnacentral:tRNA from 1 species